AGUGAACGAGGGAGGGAGGAAGAACACAGGCAAGUCGAACGGCAGCACAGUAAGAGCUUGCUCUUACGGGUGGCGAGUGGCGGACGGGUGAGGAAUACAUCGGAAUCUACUUUUUCGUGGGGGAUAACGUAGGGAAACUUACGCUAAUACCGCAUACGACCUACGGGUGAAAGCAGGGGAUCUUCGGACCUUGCGCGAUUGAAUGAGCCGAUGUCGGAUUAGCUAGUUGGCGGGGUAAAGGCCCACCAAGGCGACGAUCCGUAGCUGGUCUGAGAGGAUGAUCAGCCACACUGGAACUGAGACACGGUCCAGACUCCUACGGGAGGCAGCAGUGGGGAAUAUUGGACAAUGGGCGCAAGCCUGAUCCAGCCAUACCGCGUGGGUGAAGAAGGCCUUCGGGUUGUAAAGCCCUUUUGUUGGGAAAGAAAAGCAGCAGGUUAAUACCCCGCUGUUCUGACGGUACCCAAAGAAUAAGCACCGGCUAACUUCGUG
rnacentral:rRNA from 1 species